rnacentral:lncRNA from 1 species
UUCCAGAUGUUGGUUGUGCCGGUGGUGAUUUUUGUGUGUUUGGGAACAGUGAAACGAUUUGGUCCAAUGUUAUGUUCUUAAAUCAAGUUCUACAGAAGGUAAUUUUCUAAGUGAUUUGGCACUGCCUCAUGUGGUGUUCCUGCUUUACAAAAGAUGCUUUUCCACAACAUCAAAGUUUUUUAACACAAGUGGUAGACUAAGCCAAAAGACCACCAUUUCUUUCAUUAAAAAAAAUAUGAUACGGGAGACCACAGGGAAAAUAAAGAAUCUCCAUUUAACUAAUCAAAGGAAUUGAAGACAGCUCAACAUUAUGUCCUAAGCUUAUUAUUCUGGGUCUUUUUCUUGCGACAAAUUAGAGCAACCACUGAGGACUGAGCAGCCUCAUCUAGCUGCAAGAGCAACUACCAUCUUUGUGGCAAACCCCAGUAACACAGCCCAGUUUUUUGCAGGCAGUAACACAACCAUCAGGCGUACAAUUGUACUGGUAGGGUUCACGGCCCCGGCAUUCGUUGGCUUCCAGACCUAUGCCAGCAAAAAAAUAAGUGCAUCAGAACGGAGAGCAGUUCCUAAUUAAACUCAGAUACUAUGAAAACACAAUGUAGUGUGCAACAAAAACAGGCACAACAAUUAGCAGUAUGUUAUAUCCCAUUGUCAUCGUUGAAGUUAUGAUGAAAUCAAUAUACCAGGAUGGAGUCAACAACCACCAUGGCAGUUUUUUGUUUUAUGGGCAGUACUGGGAGUUCAAGUAAACGGGUGCUAAUUAUAAAUAUCUACUAGAUCCCAGAAACCAAAAAAAAAAAUCCUCUAUAAUUGAUAAGCUCUCCUCGAAAUAGAUGUACCUAUGUUGAUCUCUGAUACUUGACUCGACAAGCAAGUGGAUGAGAUCAUCAAAAGAACCAUCAAGCACAGAAACCUUGAGUUGAUUGGAGCCAUAGCAAAAGUUCUUUACUGUUUCUUUGGUUCCUUCUCCUAUUGUCCUUUUGUACUGGUUGUUGUGCUUUCAUUCUGCUACUGUUUAUAUAGAGGCGCCUUCCAGUGCAAUUUUUGCCGUUUAAUUACUUCCUGCAUUAGUGUUUCCUUUGAAUGGUUCGCGGUAAUUAUUCAAGAUCCUCCAAUAAUACGCGCAUCAUGGAAUAUCCUGUGGGUAUGAAUUUAUUCGCUACAAAAUAUACCAUACAAAAUUAAUUAGUACUCCUAUUCCAUAACAGGAUUAUGUCAGUUAUUGGCUCCUAAAAAUUACCAUACCAAAUUUAUUAGUUUUCCAUGACAACAUUAUGGCAUUUAUUGGUUCCCAAAAAUUACAUACUACAAAUUUGUUUGACAUCCCGUAACAAGAUCGUGCCAUUUACCGUCUCCCACAAAUUACAUACCAAAUUAGUUAUAGUAUUCCAUAUAGAGUACAAGAUUACGGCAUUUACUGUUUCCCGCAAAUUAAAUACGAAAUUAAUUAGCAUUCUAUAACAAGAUUAUUGCAUUUAUUGGCUUCCAAAUUACAUACGCAAUUGAUAAGUAUUUCGCCACGAUAUCAUAAACCGUGUAUCAAAAAUUUGUCAUCUUGAUAGCUUCCAUAUAAAGGAGGAUUACCCCCGGUCUCUGCAGGUUUCCAUAUUUGCUACCUAGGUUCCUGAUUUAUACUAAAAUUUUCGAUCAUUCCAAGACAGAUGCAACCUGAAUUACUUCAAAACCUUAUGUUGCACAAUGACUAUACUGGCUCGUGCAAUGCAUUGUCCAGAAAUAGGCAAUGAUGUGGAGACUAUUCAAGUUAAUGAUGUGAAGCAAAUAACACUACGAUCCAUCUCAUCAGACACUGCUUUCUCAGCAUCAAACAUGCUAAUAAUAUAUUUUUUUGGCUCGCCAGUGCAUAUAUUGAUAACUAACCUGGUAUUACCGAUGAGCAGGGAAUCGCAUGAGGAGAUGUAAAAUUCUUGAACUCUUACAUGUAAAACCAGUAGCAACCAGAACUUGUCCGGUGGCUGAGGGAUAUGGUAUUAUCUCAAGAAAUGUACAUCUGCUAGGCACUUUAAGUUAGAUAAUUUGGUAUUUUGCAACCAUUACUAUCCACUGAUCAUCGUCUUGGCAUUUUUGUUUUGGAAAUGUCACAAUUGCAAGUUGGUCAAUGAUAUGAUUAAUCUGUAGAAGCAAUGAAACACGAUUUGGUCAGAUGUGCAUCAGAGUUGAAAUGAUUUCUUUGUGACAACUGAAAAAGUAAAAAAGAUAAAUGGCGAAUACCGCAGAGAGCUAGAUACUUUAACUGAAGAUAGUACAUGCAUGUACAGAAUAAUGUAAAUUUAGUUGAUAUAAUAUUCAUGUCAAUCAUACUGAGUUUUUUGCUUCCAUUAGAAUUGAGCCACAUACAUAAUGCACACCAAGAUUACACAAUACACAAAGUUGGAUUCCUUGGAGACUGCCCUUAUAAACAAUUCAGCAACCUUACAUUAACAACACUGUAGCAGUCCCCGUAAAUAUAAAAUGUCAUGGUCAACAGUGCCAAGCAAGUGAAAAAAAAGAGGAAGUACAAAGCUAUCGAUCACCUUUCUUUACCUGCUAUGGAAAAAAUAUAUGCUACAGCUGAUCUCAUAAACAAGAUAGGAGUAAAAAAGACCAGACAACAUUUGUCAAUGAUUGGUAAAUUGGAUGCAAAAGAUCUUUUAUUUGUUUGUUCCUUUCUCAUUUUGUCAGAGUGACCUCGCAAAACAUUCCAUCUUCUUUUCCCUUUUAGGUUCAUGCAUGAUAAACUUAUUCACCAGUUGUACCACAUUUUUACUAGAGAGGUCGGGGUAAGGAGGAGUCCGUAAAGAGAGAUCUGAAGGAUUGGAGUAUCACCAAAGAACUAGCAAUGGACAGGGGUGCAUGGAAGCUUGCUAUCCAUGUGCCAGAACCAUGAGUUGGUAGCGAGAUCUUAUGGGUUUCACCUCUAGCCUACCCCAACUUGUUUGGGACUAAAGGCUUUGUUGUUGUUGUUGUUGUUGUAUGUCUUCUAUAUACUGAAUAAUUUAAAGAUUAUGCAUGUAUCCAACUGUUAACUAAUGACCGCACAAUGUACCUAAGCCAAAUCAAUAAAUUACCAACAACACACUUUCUGUAAUGGCCAAGCAUGUAAACAGAAACCCAAACAAAUUCCACCUGUCAUCAGAUAUGCUAUUUAUAAAACCAUAUAAGCUUUCUGCAGAGUCCAAGCAAUGAAGAAUGUAGACUGAUGCUCUUUCAUUUUCAGAUUGCCUUAUCAUGCAUACCAUUGGGACCUCAGUGCAGGAACUCGACGAAAUCAGAUUCAGGAAGUCAAAUCCUACCAUGAAGGUAAUCAUCAGGAACCAUGGCUUGCAGUUAGCAAUAGCAUGACAAAUAGCAAAUUGAUGCGGCAUUGUAUCAUGCACGGUGAUAUACUUGAAGCAUAUUGAAGUGGAGAAAUUGAUUGCAUCAAUUGUAAAGCUCGGAUGGGAACUGCGUACUUACUUUUUGCUAAAGGUAAAAUCUCAGGCCCAUCAUCCAAACAAUCAGCUGUGGAGCUACAAAGAUAAAGUUAACAGUUGUAAAACAAGCAAGUGACGCCAACAAUUAAGUAGAACUGAACCUGUUGUUUAGUCAUGCUGGCUCCCGUUUACCUGUAAUAGGGUUAGUUAUUGUUGUGGUGCUGUCUAGGUUUCCGCCCCACAGGGCACGUUAUGAUGACGAGCAUGCACGGUGGGUUUCCUGGCAGUACUUGAACUCGCUUUCCUCUCUUUCCCGUCUCCUGUAGAACUCUCUAGCCUGGUUCAAAAAAAAUUAAAUAGAACAGAAGACAUAACUGUAUAUUAAACAUGCAUGGACCUAUCAAUUGAUAGAUAAGCCAUAAAUUCAGGGCUGUUGGAAAUUAUGAUUCAAGUUGCUCACCAAAUAACUUCCAAACAAGUUGGCACAGUAGUGCCUAAAGAUCGAAUUAUUUGAGAGACAAAAUAAACAUCAGAUGAUAUGUUGCAUGGAGCUAUUUUAUCUUGCUUAAUAGCAUUCCAAGGAAAGUAGCAGCCACCCCACCCCUCUCACAUGCUCUUCUAUAUGGCAAAUGUUACUUGGAAUGCAGAGUUUGGAUUUUUGGAGUUUGAUAGUUUCAGGUAGCUGGAUAAUCCAGGUCUACAGCGAGCUUGAAUUGAGAGCAUUUAACUUUGUUGUAUUAGAGAUUUCUAUGGGGCACCCUGCCUCCUUGUUAUAAAAAAAAGAUUCAAAAUUGCAUACCAUGACACAAAUAGAAUACGGUAACAACUCACAACCUUUCGCUGGCAGCAUGCUACACCAAGGUAGACACAAUCACCACUAAUUCAAAGAUCUUUUAUUGCCCAAUCUCAGUUAGGUGUCAUUCCAGGGCAUUGCUCAGAAGUAUGUCAAGAUAGUAUUCAUUCCGACUCUCUAUCCAACACGCGAUAUGGACAUGAAGCUAGUGAACACUAUAGAUUGGCAUGGCAUGCACAGAUUCACAACUAUAAGUAAAAGGAUCCAAAUUAAAUAAAUAAAAACUAAACUUUAUACCUAUAGGUGUAUAGGUGUGCACUCGCAACAGAGGUCAACAACAGUCAUUGAUCAAACCUCUGCUAAGAAAACAUUACUUCAGAAUUCAGCUCCUCCUGUUGCCUAGCUACAAAUACAUAGUGAAAGGAGAGAACAAUCAUCAUCGCAUAACCAUGGAAUCUGAGCAAAGGAUACAAAUAGUUCAGGAGAAGGCAAGCAACUGAACCUGUUACAAGGCAACGAAUUCAGCUCAUCCCUUGUUUCAUGCCGUGGACUGGGAUGCCACAUUCUUGAAACACCAACAACUUCAGAGCAUAUGGGCGUAAAAUAAGCACAAAUCUCAAAACCUU